rnacentral:rRNA from 1 species
GAAUCUUCCGCAAUGGGCGAAAGCCUGACGGAGCGACGCCGCGUGAGCGAAGAAGGCCUUCGGGUCGUAAAGCUCUGUUGUGAGGGACGAAGGAGCGCCGUUCGAAGAGGGCGGCGCGGUGACGGUACCUCACGAGAAAGCCCCGGCUAACUACGUGCCAGCAGCCGCGGUAAUACGUAGGGGGCGAGCGUUGUCCGGAAUUAUUGGGCGUAAAGCGCGCGCAGGCGGUCUCUUAAGUCUGAUGUGAAAGCCCACGGCUCAACCGUGGAGGGUCAUUGGAAACUGGGGGACUUGAGGGCAGGAGAGGAGAGCGGAAUUCCACGUGUAGCGGUGAAAUGCGUAGAGAUGUGGAGGAACACCAGUGGCGAAGGCGGCUCUCUGGCCUGCACCUGACGCUGAGGCGCGAAAGCGUGGGGAGCAAACAG